AUAUAAUGUGACUAUUAGGUCAACCAUAACAAACCACAAAAAAACUUCAUAACAUAUUACUAAGCAUAUUAUCACAAAAAAGAGUUCAAUAUCUGAAAAGGACAGUUUAAAGAUUUUUUUAAAUCCAACUAUGAAAGUUAAGUCAGACAGAUACUACGGCUGCUGAAAUCCAAAAUCCAAUAUCUUCUGUAACAGCUAAUGUUGGAGAACCUGUUCUACAGAGGAAUAAGAAAAUGAUUGACAUGAGGAAACUACUUAUAUUGGAG
rnacentral:lncRNA from 1 species